GGGUUGUGAGGUUAAGCGACUAAGCGUACACGGUGGAUGCCCUGGCAGUCAGAGGCGAUGAAGGACGUGCUAAUCUGCGAUAAGCGUCGGUAAGGUGAUAUGAACCGUUAUAACCGGCGAUUUCCGAAUGGGGAAACCCAGUGUGUUUCGACACACUAUCAUUAACUGAAUCCAUAGGUUAAUGAGGCGAACCGGGGGAACUGAAACAUCUAAGUACCCCGAGGAAAAGAAAUCAACCGAGAUUCCCCCAGUAGCGGCGAGCGAACGGGGAGCAGCCCAGAGCCUGAAUCAGUGUGUGUGUUAGUGGAAGCGUCUGGAAAGGCGCGCGAUACAGGGUGACAGCCCCGUACACAAAAAUGCACAUGCUGUGAGCUCGAUGAGUAGGGCGGGACACGUGGUAUCCUGUCUGAAUAUGGGGGGACCAUCCUCCAAGGCUAAAUACUCCUGACUGACCGAUAGUGAACCAGUACCGUGAGGGAAAGGCGAAAAGAACCCCGGCGAGGGGAGUGAAAAAGAACCUGAAACCGUGUACGUACAAGCAGUGGGAGCACGCUUAGGCGUGUGACUGCGUACCUUUUGUAUAAUGGGUCAGCGACUUAUAUUCUGUAGCAAGGUUAACCGAAUAGGGGAGCCGAAGGGAAACCGAGUCUUAACUGGGCGUUAAGUUGCAGGGUAUAGACCCGAAACCCGGUGAUCUAGCCAUGGGCAGGUUGAAGGUUGGGUAACACUAACUGGAGGACCGAACCGACUAAUGUUGAAAAAUUAGCGGAUGACUUGUGGCUGGGGGUGAAAGGCCAAUCAAACCGGGAGAUAGCUGGUUCUCCCCGAAAGCUAUUUAGGUAGCGCCUCGUGAAUUCAUCUCCGGGGGUAGAGCACUGUUUCGGCAAGGGGGUCAUCCCGACUUACCAACCCGAUGCAAACUGCGAAUACCGGAGAAUGUUAUCACGGGAGACACACGGCGGGUGCUAACGUCCGUCGUGAAGAGGGAAACAACCCAGACCGCCAGCUAAGGUCCCAAAGUCAUGGUUAAGUGGGAAACGAUGUGGGAAGGCCCAGACAGCCAGGAUGUUGGCUUAGAAGCAGCCAUCAUUUAAAGAAAGCGUAAUAGCUCACUGGUCGAGUCGGCCUGCGCGGAAGAUGUAACGGGGCUAAACCAUGCACCGAAGCUGCGGCAGCGACNNNNNNNNNNNNNNNNNNNNNNNNNNNNNNNAUGCUGGAGGUAUCAGAAGUGCGAAUGCUGACAUAAGUAACGAUAAAGCGGGUGAAAAGCCCGCUCGCCGGAAGACCAAGGGUUCCUGUCCAACGUUAAUCGGGGCAGGGUGAGUCGACCCCUAAGGCGAGGCCGAAAGGCGUAGUCGAUGGGAAACAGGUUAAUAUUCCUGUACUUGGUGUUACUGCGAAGGGGGGACGGAGAAGGCUAUGUUGGCCGGGCGACGGUUGUCCCGGUUUAAGCGUGUAGGCUGGUUUUCCAGGCAAAUCCGGAAAAUCAAGGCUGAGGCGUGAUGACGAGGCACUACGGUGCUGAAGCAACAAAUGCCCUGCUUCCAGGAAAAGCCUCUAAGCAUCAGGUAACAUCAAAUCGUACCCCAAACCGACACAGGUGGUCAGGUAGAGAAUACCAAGGCGCUUGAGAGAACUCGGGUGAAGGAACUAGGCAAAAUGGUGCCGUAACUUCGGGAGAAGGCACGCUGAUAUGUAGGUGAAGUCCCUCGCGGAUGGAGCUGAAAUCAGUCGAAGAUACCAGCUGGCUGCAACUGUUUAUUAAAAACACAGCACUGUGCAAACACGAAAGUGGACGUAUACGGUGUGACGCCUGCCCGGUGCCGGAAGGUUAAUUGAUGGGGUUAGCGCAAGCGAAGCUCUUGAUCGAAGCCCCGGUAAACGGCGGCCGUAACUAUAACGGUCCUAAGGUAGCGAAAUUCCUUGUCGGGUAAGUUCCGACCUGCACGAAUGGCGUAAUGAUGGCCAGGCUGUCUCCACCCGAGACUCAGUGAAAUUGAACUCGCUGUGAAGAUGCAGUGUACCCGCGGCAAGACGGAAAGACCCCGUGAACCUUUACUAUAGCUUGACACUGAACAUUGAGCCUUGAUGUGUAGGAUAGGUGGGAGGCUUAGAAGUGUGGACGCCAGUCUGCAUGGAGCCGACCUUGAAAUACCACCCUUUAAUGUUUGAUGUUCUAACGUUGACCCGUAAUCCGGGUUGCGGACAGUGUCUGGUGGGUAGUUUGACUGGGGCGGUCUCCUCCUAAAGAGUAACGGAGGAGCACGAAGGUUGGCUAAUCCUGGUCGGACAUCAGGAGGUUAGUGCAAUGGCAUAAGCCAGCUUGACUGCGAGCGUGACGGCGCGAGCAGGUGCGAAAGCAGGUCAUAGUGAUCCGGUGGUUCUGAAUGGAAGGGCCAUCGCUCAACGGAUAAAAGGUACUCCGGGGAUAACAGGCUGAUACCGCCCAAGAGUUCAUAUCGACGGCGGUGUUUGGCACCUCGAUGUCGGCUCAUCACAUCCUGGGGCUGAAGUAGGUCCCAAGGGUAUGGCUGUUCGCCAUUUAAAGUGGUACGCGAGCUGGGUUUAGAACGUCGUGAGACAGUUCGGUCCCUAUCUGCCGUGGGCGCUGGAGAACUGAGGGGGGCUGCUCCUAGUACGAGAGGACCGGAGUGGACGCAUCACUGGUGUUCGGGUUGUCAUGCCAAUGGCACUGCCCGGUAGCUAAAUGCGGAAGAGAUAAGUGCUGAAAGCAUCUAAGCACGAAACUUGCCCCGAGAUGAGUUCUCCCUGAC
rnacentral:rRNA from 1 species